GUUUACGGCCAUACCAGCCUGAUCUCGUCUGAUCUCGGAAGCUAAGCAGGGUCGGGCCUGGUUAGUACUUUGAUGGGAGACCGCCUGGGAAUACCAGGUGCUGUAAGCU
rnacentral:rRNA from 1 species